GCGGAUCCAUCGCUGCAAGGGCGUUAUCCAAUGCGUGGUCUGUAUCAAGCGCUUGCGGUUGCAGCAAUGUGUUUACAGGAACAAGCAGCGACAAGACCGUUGAUAGGAGACGUGGUGACAGCUCUAACUUACUUAGCUUCUCAAACCUUUGACCCAAACGCGCCAAACGGCCAAAACAGUAGAAGCGGUGGCGGUGGCGGGCCGCCGUUUAUCAGGACGGGGGAUGAAAGGAGAAGCUUAGGAGAUGGGAGUAGUUUGGAUAGUCCUGCGGAGACUCGUAGCCGGCUAGGGUCACCGGGGACUCACAAGAACUCUCCUGAUUACAGGAGAAGGGAUAUGGUGAGGGAAGUGAAUGCUGGAUCAGAGGCUGGGAGCGAGGCUGGAGGAGGGUCAGGGAGGAAGUGGGGGUUAAGCGAUGUGGAAGGGACGGAGUCACAGAGAGGGAGUCCAGCGAGUGUUGGGAGGGGAGGGAGAGGGACUCCGAGGAACAGGGAUUUAGAUAGAGAGAGAGCGGUGGCGGAGGCAAAGGUGUGGGGAGAGAAUUGGAGGGAGAGGAAGAGAGGAACCAAUGGACCGGGAAGCUUUGAUAGUUCAAAUGACUGAGAAGGGAAAGAUUUUAAAAGCUUUUGUAUGUUUGAACAUGAGAUAGGUUUUGUCUUUUAUGGCAAGAGGCUUUGUGGUUAUAUGGAACAUUUGUUGGGUCUGGUCGGGUCAGUUGUCGGAUUUGAUGUCUGAGUCAGAGGGGAGACUCUUCAAUGUAUCGUGGUUGAAGCUCAAGAACAAGAAGAAUGGUGAGUAGAGGGAUUAGGAGGGGAAAGAAAAUGGUUCUUUAAGUCAUGUUUUUGUUUUUAUUAAAUGGGUUGUAUAUGUAAUAGGGGAGGGAGAGUCUUGAGUCGAUUUUAAUGUUGUACUGUUUUUAAUGUAUCAUGUGUAUGGAUUAGAGUCUAUGGAAAGAGAGAAAAAAAAAAAGAAACUCCAGCUAAGUCGGCUUCUUUUCUUUGUGAUGAGAGCUACGGUUAUGUGCUCUGUUCAAAUCCGACCACAAAAGGAGACUUCACUACUAUGCCCACAUCUUCUUUCGGCAAAGACUAAUAUUUCACCAACACUGUCACCAUGCAUAUUGUAUUAAUUGGUUGUAACCUAAUAGUAGAAGCUUUCAUCUGUAGAACUGGCUCCCAAGAUGGUCUCAAAAGUCUUUUAAAGGGACGGAGAAUGUCAAGUGGCCUGCAUCUAUGUUAGUAAGAUGUACACGAAACGAAUACAUUUUUUGCAGCCUUUGACUUACAUUCUCCACAUCCCACGUUUUUUUUGUAAUUUCUUAAGAAGUUUAAACUCAUGAACCUUGUUUAUCAUCAUCAAAAAUUUAGAUCUAAUGAUAUUACUCAUUUAGUUCCAGUGUAUAUGUCACUUAAUUUUUUCUUCACAAGAAAUUAUAAAUAAUUAAUAACUAUCUAUUUCUACCAGUAGUUGACUAUUAAAGUUCAAUAGUAUUCUAAAUUUCAUUUUAAAUAUAUAGAUAAAUCAAUAUAAAAUAAAUAAACUUGUAAAAACACUUCAACCAGAUACCAUUUGCAACCUAACGAAUAAUAUUUUCUUUUUCUUUCUCGAAGCUCAUGUGAUUUUGUUUCUAUAUAUUAUUUCCAUUUUAAGUAAUAGUGAAAUUCUAAAAGAAGGAUAGGUUUGUCGUACCAUCACGUGGGCCGGUGAGCAUGGUGGGCGCAAUGUAACUGAUUCAAGCAACGAACACUUGACCUUUUAUUACUAUUGCAGGCUGCAACUCUCACUAUACUUUCAUUGCCUCAAGAAUGAUCAAUCUGUUAUAAAUUAAGCAUUGAAAUGAUCAUCCACUUCUUUACCAAACUCAAGCACUAUGAUCAUUCACUCCUUUACCAACUCAAGCACUAUGAUCAUCUACUCAUCAAGCAUUAUGAUCACCCACUCAUUUACCAAACUAAGCACCAUCUUUGUUAUUUUAUGUAUUGUUGUUCACUAUAAAUACCAUCACUCAUCUCACUCUUUUGUACACCAUAAACAAGAACAAGAGUUUAUAAUCAAAGAACCAUUACAUCUUCUUCUUCUUCCUUAUAAUAAACUCUCUCCCUCAAUGGAGGCAAUUAUCCACAACGCUCAUGUGCAUUGUCUGUUAUGAAACUCCUCCUAGCUGUUACACUGCCACGCGUCGUCAUAUGCCAAAUAUUAAAUCAAAUUAAUUUAUAAUUUGGAAAUACAAGUUCAAUUUGAAUACACUGUGUUCGAAGAUAGAUGAUUUAACGUUUUUAAAAACUUCCAGUUUAUGUGUUAUAAAGUAAAUAUUUUCAGAAAAUCAGUUCAAAAAAAAAAGUAAAUAUUUUCAGAAAAAACUGAGAUUCUCUUUUUAAAAUAGUUUACUAGUAUUAUAAAUCAGUGGUGUAAGGAUAAGAAACGGUCUUCGAAAGUGACAAAUUUGUUAGUUUAAAACUUUAAAUUUUAUGUUGAUGACUCGGUGUGUUUUUGCUUCAAAGUCUGAUUUGCUAGAUUCGAGCACUACCACUAAUAUACGUUGGACGUUAAUUUCUAAAUUAAACUAAUUUACUAUUAACUGAUAUGAAAUCUUAUGAAACGGUUAACAAAUAAGCUGGAGGAAUAAAUGUAGGAACUCUAAAUGUAGCCAUUUUCUUCCUCUGAUAGUGCCUCUCUGAGUCAGCUUGGUUGAUGUUUCUUUUAAGCCAGCAUUUAAAAUUGGAACUUUUCCUUUCUAGAAAACCUACUUUGUAAUUUUAAGAAAAAUAAUAGAAGAUAUAAACUAUUCUAUUAAAACUGAAAUACAAAAUAAAAUUUAUCUAUAGAUUUUCAUUCUCAUUUUGACUAAUUCUAACUAGUUCAUUUAUUAUUUUUAUUUAAGUGUUUUAUUACAAUUUUUACAUUCAUUUUUUACUCUGCAAAAUUACUUCAUUAAUUGUAUUUACCAUAAUAGUUCAAUUUUUUUUAAUUUUAUAUACUAACCAUUAUAAUUUCAUAUGUCAUUUAAAUUAAAUUGCUCUAUUAGUGAAAAGAAUUCAAACCGAUUAACAAAAAUAUUUUUAUUUGUUUGCAUGAUCAGUUAGACAUAACAUUCAUGUAUACGUUUGGAUAUAUAUCGGUUUUAUGGGUAUCGGCUUUUUAAAUUUUAAAAUUAAACUAUGUUCGGUUAUUAUAAAUUUUUAGAUAGGGUUCAAGUUAGAUUCUUUCGAGUCCAAGUAAGUUUUUAAAAAACCUAUAAAUAUCUAAAUAAUCUAUAUGUUUAAAAAUAUUCAAAAAAAAUCUAUAUGUUUAAACUAUCACUAAACAAUUUAUAAAAAGGUAAAGCUCUAAUUAUCUUUAAAGUUGCUAGACGUUAUAAUUUGACCAAAUGUGUUAAUUCAAAGACGAUACCUUCUUUUUAUAACUUUUAGUUUUUUAUGUCAAUGUAGGGGGUUUAUUAUGCAGGCUAAUAAGUUGCUUUACACUAAACACUAAUGUUAAGUGGAGUAAUAGUCAAUGAUUUGUAUAUAUAAUUUUAUUAAUGAUAUUUGGAAAAAUAAGUACAUUUUUACGUAUUAUGUAUUCAGUAAUACAUUUAUGAGAAUUUAUCAUCGCAUAUUCGGAAAAUAAUUAAAUACAUUUCUUAUUGUUUUGAAGGAGAAAAUAAAAGAAACUGUGGGGGUUUGUGAAUGUUUAUUUCACAAUUCACAAGGCGUGAGAGCAAAAGCAUAUCCUCUAUGUGGGGCCUUCUUUCCGACCGUAAUGAUUCUUAUUUAUCUUCUGAAGCCGUUAAUUUAGCCUUUAAUUUAUACUAGUUAGCUUCAAAAUGUAAUUAGCCUCAAACUGUAUAAUCACAUGUAUGAUAUACUUAUUUUUUCAUAACACAUUUCAUCACUUUGCAUAACAGAUACCAUUUCUGGCCAGAUAAACUUGUAUAUUCCAGUAUGUUUCACCUUAUGUAUGUGAAAAUUUAAACAGCUUAUUUUAUAAAAUUUAUUUUUCGAUAAGAUAAAUGUUUUAAGCAGGGGGAUUAAUUUAUGUUGGCAAUUAAUCUCACAUUUAAACAGAAACUUAUUCCCUUAAUCUAACUUUAACUUUUCGAUUAAGAAAAAGAUUAUCCCUUUGAUGGUUUUAUUACAUGUCAAACCAUUUGUAAUAAAAUUUCAUAUCUUUUUUUUUCUUAUAUUUUUCCUUUUACCUUCCCCUUCUCGCGUAGCACCCACAUCCAAAAAAAAGAAGAGUAACCUCGAUUUGUUGAUCUGCCGCUGGUCUCGAUCUCCCACCAAAGAUCUCGAGAAAGAGAGAGAGACGCAUUGAAAAAAGGCUGCGGCUUUUGGUCUUUAUUACUCUAUUUUCCUGUUUGGUUUCACAGUAAAAAAAAAUCUCGAGAUGUGUUGAGCUUUAUCAUGUUGGGAUAAUCUCCGGUUGAUUGAUUCUGUCGGAAAGGUUUCUUUGUUUUAUUAGAAUUUCGAUAUCUCCGAGGACUUAAGCUUCGGAGAUGAGUUGGUGUUGUUUGCCUUGCUUUGGAUCUUCUGCUAAAGACGCUGAUUCGAAAGAUUCGUUGAAGAAAGAAGUUUCAGCUAAAGACGGCUCUGUUACUCAGCAGUCUCACCGUGCCAGCUUAGGUGAACAUUUUUUUUUCAUAUAAAGCCUUUUGGGAUCUGUUGAGUUUUGGUCUCUUAGAUCGAUUUAGCCUUCUGGGUUCUCAUAAAGUUUGUUCCUUUUGGUGAUGUUUCUGAUCUAAAUUCAUAUUCUGUAGCUUCACGGCUACAAAGCUUGUAGGACUCUAGUUCAUGAGAGAUCUAAUGUGUUUUGUGAGCUUUGAUUAUAGUUAUCUAUACAUGGAAUGCAAUUAGGAGAUGUCAAGUUAGUUUUCUAAACGCUAUCCAUCAAACAAGGAAUCAUAAAAACGUUAGCUUUAGGGUUUGGUUUGAGGAAUGAAGAGUUCUGGAUAAGGAUAUUCUAUAAUUCUAGACAUCACUAGUUCAAUGUUUGGUCUACUUCUACUAGUCAGUUACUUCAUAAGCUGCUUACUGCGCAUUGCUUUGUAACGAAAAGUACUAACCUUUCCUCUCUUUGGUGUAGACAAAUCAAAGUCUCGAGGAGGUUCUGAACAUAAGGAGCUAACCGCUCCAAAAGAAGGGCCAACCGCUAACAUCGCUGCACAAACGUUUACUUUCAGAGAGUUAGCUGCCGCCACUAAGAACUUUAGACCGGAAUGUCUUCUUGGAGAAGGAGGCUUCGGACGUGUUUACAAGGGCCGUCUAGAGAGCACAGGACAGGUAAUGAUCCUUGAAAAUCAACAUGAUAAUCAAACUCAAGUGUUUUACUAUUAUGUAUUUGGUUUUGAUGAUAUGCAGAUAGUAGCUGUUAAGCAGCUAGAUAGAAACGGUCUACAAGGAAACAGAGAGUUUCUGGUAGAGGUUCUCAUGCUGAGCCUUCUGCAUCAUACCAACCUUGUGAAUUUGAUUGGCUAUUGCGCUGAUGGUGACCAACGUCUUCUUGUUUACGAGUAUAUGGCACUAGGCUCCUUGGAAGAUCACCUACACGGUAAGCUUAUCGAUAUUUCCCCACUCUAUUACCAUAUACAGAAACUAGGGCGUUGUCUAGUCCUAUUGUAUUUGAUAUAUUGGGAAAGUUUUUAGCAUGUGUUUGAUGUAUUAUUUAUGGUAAAAGUAUCAUAACCUUGCAAAUAGUUUAUAUGGUGAGUUUUUGUUCUCUGUCAGAUCUUCCACCAAGUAAAGAGCCUCUGGACUGGAACACGAGGAUGACAAUAGCUGCAGGAGCAGCUAAAGGACUUGAGUAUUUGCAUGAUAAAGCAAACCCGCCUGUGAUCUACAGAGACUUGAAAUCAUCUAAUAUUCUUCUAGGAGAUGGCUAUCACCCAAAGUUAUCUGAUUUCGGGUUAGCUAAGCUAGGUCCUGUGGGGGAUAAAACACACGUCUCAACUCGUGUUAUGGGCACGUAUGGCUACUGUGCACCAGAAUACGCCAUGACAGGGCAACUGACGUUGAAAUCAGAUGUUUACAGCUUUGGAGUUGUGUUUUUGGAGCUCAUCACGGGGAGAAAAGCUAUAGAUAACGCUCGAGCACCAGGAGAGCAUAACCUCGUCGCAUGGGUACGUUUAAAAAUCUCAACUUUGCAUAUCUUUAAAACAUAAAUUCUCAACCUUUACACAUAAAGUCUCAACCUUUUUGUAUUCUAAUGUUAUAACUAAGUUUUGGGUCGUUGUGGGUUAUGUUUUGUAUCGUUACACAGGCUAGGCCGUUGUUUAAGGAUCGUAGGAAGUUUCCAAAGAUGGCGGAUCCAUCGCUGCAAGGGCGUUAUCCAAUGCGUGGUCUGUAUCAAGCGCUUGCGGUUGCAGCAAUGUGUUUACAGGAACAAGCAGCGACAAGACCGUUGAUAGGAGACGUGGUGACAGCUCUAACUUACUUAGCUUCUCAAACCUUUGACCCAAACGCGCCAAACGGCCAAAACAGUAGAAGCGGUGGCGGUGGCGGGCCGCCGUUUAUCAGGACGGGGGAUGAAAGGAGAAGCUUAGGAGAUGGGAGUAGUUUGGAUAGUCCUGCGGAGACUCGUAGCCGGCUAGG
rnacentral:lncRNA from 1 species